ensembl:lncRNA
AACCUUUGUCAACUCUGUAUGCGUUUUCUGACUGCCUGUGUAGUCAUCUGACAACUUGAGAAGCAGGAACAAAGCACUGGCAAGGCUGACAAAUCCUGCAGAUGCAGCAAGGAAGCAAAGAAAGCACAAAAGAAGUCUAUAAUGAUCGAAAGCCAAAGGGAAAAGAAAAGGAUCGUGGCCAAAUAGUGUCAAAUACCUGCUCCUCCCAAUAAUUUUAGUAGAGGCUCUCUUGCAAGAUCUGUCAUCAAGCAUAGAAGAUAUUGCUACACCACAACUCCUGACGUAUUUUCUACCUGCUUUGAAAGGAUGACACUCCAACAAUGUGUCACUGUAUCUCAGCUGGGAGAUGUAAUUACCUGCAAAGGGACUGUACCUUCUGAAAUUGCCUUUGGCUGCUCCUGAAUAUUUAAAACUGCUGCUCUGUCUCAGUGCAAAGACAAAGAGCGAGAGUAAAAAAAAGGACGGAAGGAAGGAAGGAAGG